rnacentral:rRNA from 1 species
AAUGGGCGCAAGCCUGAUCCAGCCAUGCCGCGUGAGUGAAGAAGGCCUUCGGGUUGUAAAGCUCUUUCGGCCGGGAAGAAAUCGUGGUCUCUAACAUAGGCCAUGGAUGACGGUACCGGACUAAGAAGCACCGGCUAACUACGUGCCAGCAGCCGCGGUAAUACGUAGGGUGCGAGCGUUAAUCGGAAUUACUGGGCGUAAAGCGUGCGCAGGCGGUUUGGUAAGACAGGCGUGGAAUCCCCGGGCUUAACCUGGGAACUGCGCUUGUGACUGCCAGGCUAGAGUACGGCAGAGGGGGGUGGAAUUCCACGUGUAGCAGUGAAAUGCGUAGAGAUGUGGAGGAACACCAAUGGCGAAGGCAGCCCCCUGGGUCGAUACUGACGCUCAUGCACGAAAGCGUGGGUAGCAAA